AUUAAUGCAAACAAAGUUGCCAUUGUGAAUAACAAAUAGAACGGCUGCUGAGAGAGGGAAGCGAAGCAAUGCCAUUCGACACUAUCGUUCAGAAUACUUUUUUUUUUGUAAAGUAAUAUAUUAAUAUUUAAUGGGGGCAUGAUUAAAAACAACCUUGGUGGUUCUAAUAAGUAUGCUUAGAAAUUUCUAACAACACAACAGAUCAGCAGUUUGCCUAGAAAAACAACAGUAGCUUAAAUCAGAAAUGUUGUGAUUUUUACAUUUACAAAUUUCCCAUAAAUCCCCACGUAAGAAAAUAGAAGGGGUUUUCCACCUCAUCGUUUAUUUAUGAGUAAAUAAACAAACUGCGUUUCUCGGUUGAAACUGUCUGCAAAUUUUUAGUAGGAAAAAUUGAGACGCCGAAUAAAUCCGAAAUAGCAAAGACUUAUCAGUAGACAGACAAAUAUAGUAUUUAUUUGGCUUCGUAUUGUGCGCAGAAAUUUGCAAAUAUUUGGAAAGGGCGCGUCCAAUCGGAGAGACAGAGUCACUCAUAAAAUGCAAAUGAAUUUUAUAAAUACUAAACAGAAAGCGAGCCAAUCGCUGCAAAUGGAAAUCAAUAAAAAACAAAAACAACAA